GCCCGGGUGGCUCAGCGGUUGAGCGUCUGCCUUUGGCUCAGGGUGUGAUCCUGGAGACCUGGGAUCGAGUCCCACAUCGGGCU
rnacentral:tRNA from 1 species